UCAAGCUACAAAGAGCACAAGGGGAAUGCCUUGGCACUGAGAGCCGAAGAAGGACGUGACUAACUGCGAUAAGCUGCGGGGAGCCGUAAGUAGGCUUUGAUCCGCAGAUUUCCGAAUGGAGCAAUCCGGCAAGAGGAAAGUCUUGUCAUCAUAUACUGAAUACAUAGGUAUAUGAGGGGAACCGCCUGAACUGAAACAUCUAAGUAGGGCGAGGAAGAGAAAUCAACUGAGAUUCCGUAAGUAGUGGCGAGCGAACGCGGAAGAGGCCAAACCGAGAGUAGUAAUACUUUCGGGGUUCGGACAGAAUACGGCAUUGUAAAGGUUUAGUGGAAUGGAAUGGGAAGUCCAACCGAAGAAGGUGAGAGUCCUGUACACGAAAAGCCUGAACAGCCAUCUGUAUCCAGAGUACCGCCGGACACGUGAAACCCGGUGGGAAUACGGGGGGACCAUCCUCCAAGCCUAAAUACUACUCGGUGACCGAUAGUGAAGAAGUACUGUGAAGGAAAGGUGAAAAGUACCCCUGACGGGGAGUGAAAAAGAACCUGAAACCUUGUGUUUACAAGCACCGAAAGCUCAUCAAAGAGCGAUCGGGUACCUUUUGUAGAAUGGUCCGGCGAGUGAAUGUAACCGGCGAGGUUAAGCACUUAAGGUGUGAAGCCGCAGCGAGAGCAAGUCUGAAUAGGGCGUAUGAAGUCGGUUGUAUUCGACCCGAAACCGGGUGACCUACCCAUGGUCAGGUUGAAGUAAAGGUAAAACUUUAUGGAGGACCGAACCGACUCCCGUUGAAAUGGUAGCGGAUGAACUGUGGGUAGCGGAGAAAUUCCAAUCGAACCCGGAGAUAGCUGGUUCUCUCCGAAAUAGCUUUAGGGCUAGCCUUGAAAUAGAUUACCGGAGGUAAAGCACUGAAUUGGCUAGGGGCCGAGAGGUUACUGAACCUUAUCAAACUAAGAAUGCCGGAUAAUCGUUUUUCAGGAGUCAGACAGUGGGAGAUAAGUUUCAUUGUCAAAAGGGAAACAGCCCAGACCCACAGCUAAGGUCCCCAAGUAUAGUUAAGUGGAAAAGGAUGUGGAAUUGCACAGACAACCAGGAUGUUGGCUUAGAAGCAGCCACUCAUUAAAAGAGUGCGUAAUAGCUCACUGGUCGAGUGACUCUGCGCCGAAAAUUUAACGGGGCUAAACUAUACACCGAAGCUUGGGAUACAUCUAAUGUAUGGUAGGAGAGCGUUCUGUAUGGGGAGAAGUCGUAGCGAAAGCGGCGGUGGACUAUACAGAAGUGAGAAUGCCGGAAUAAGUAGCGAGAAUUAAGUGAGAAUCUUAAUGGCCGAAAGUCUAAGGUUUUUGGAGGAAGGUUCGUCCGCUCCAAGUAAGUCGGGAGCUAAGGUCAGGCCGAAAGGCGUAGCCGAUGCACAUACGGUUGAUAUUCCGUAACCAUCUGUAAUUUAAGCAAAGGGACACUUCAAAAGGGUGUGACCCGGGCGUUGGUUGACCCGGGCGUAAGGGACCGAAAUUAGAGUAGGGAAGCACACUUGGCUGAAGGCGAGAAAAGCUUUGCGUAUAGAAACAGAUGCCCGUACCGCAAACCGACACAGGUGGACAGGAAGAGAAUUCUAAGGCCAGCGGGAGAAGGGUAGUUAAGGAACUCGGCAAAUUGACUCCGUAACUUCGGAAUAAGGAGUGCUCGAAAGAGCCGCAGAGAAUAGGCCCAGGCGACUGUUUAGCAAAAACACAGGUCUCUGCCAAAUCGAAAGAUGAAGUAUAGGGGCUGACACCUGCCCGGUGCCGGAAGGUUAAGAGGAGGAGUGAGAGCUCCGAAUUGAAGCCCCGGUAAACGGCGGCCGUAACUAUAACGGUCCUAAGGUAGCGAAAUUCCUUGUCGGGUAAGUUCCG
rnacentral:rRNA from 1 species